rnacentral:rRNA from 1 species
GGGACACGUGGUAUCCUGUCUGAAUAUGGGGGGACCAUCCUCCAAGGCUAAAUACUCCUGACUGACCGAUAGUGAACCAGUACCGUGAGGGAAAGGCGAAAAGAACCCCGGCGAGGGGAGUGAAAAAGAACCUGAAACCGUGUACGUACAAGCAGUGGGAGCACCUUCGGGUGUGACUGCGUACCUUUUGUAUAAUGGGUCAGCGACUUAUAUUCUGUAGCAAGGUUAACCGUAUAGGGGAGCCGCAGGGAAACCGAGUCUUAACUGGGCGUUAAGUUGCAGGGUAUAGACCCGAAACCCGGUGAUCUAGCCAUGGGCAGGUUGAAGGUUGGGUAACACUAACUGGAGGACCGAACCGACUAAUGUUGAAAAAUUAGCGGAUGACUUGUGGCUGGGGGUGAAAGGCCAAUCAAACCGGGAGAUAGCUGGUUCUCCCCGAAAGCUAUUUAGGUAGCGCCUCGUGAAUUCAUCUUCGGGGGUAGAGCACUGU